UACAGAGGUCUCAAGCGUUGUUCGGAUUCAUUGGGCGUAAAGGGUGCGUAGGCGGCGCGGUAAGUCGGGUGUGAAAUCUCGGGGCUUAACUCCGAAACUGCAUUCGAUACUGCGGUGCUUGAGGACUGGAGAGGAGACUGGAAUUCAUGGUGUAGCGGUGAAAUGCGUAGAUAUCUGGAGGAACACCGGUGGCGAAGGCGGCAUCCUGGACCAACACUGACGCUGAUGAGCGAAAGCCAGGGGAGCAAACGGG
rnacentral:rRNA from 1 species